GGAGGGGCCGCGGGCGGCCGAGGGCGGGCCGCGAGCGGGGCCGGCACCGGCCGGGACGCGCGCGCAGACAAAGCGCGGCGCGAGGCGGCCCCGGCGGCCGGCGGGCGCGGCGCCAGCCCCGGCGGCGCGUUCCUGGCAGCGGCCCCUCCCCCCGCGCUCCGCCCCCAACUUCUCAUUCACACUUUCCCCCUCCCUUCUAAGAAGGCCGCUUUCUGGCAGAGGCGGGGGCCCCGCUCCGGGAGCGCGCGGGCAGUUCCAGGAGGCCGGGCGGGAGAGGCUCCCGGCUCCCCUUCCCUUCUUCGCAGGCCUCGCGGGGACACCCCCCCGCCGCCCCCACGCGGGCUGCCCGAGGCCCCGAUCGCCGCCCCGGGAGGCCCGGGCGGCCGCGAGGGAAGCGGGGACACCCCGGAGCCGGGCGGCGACACGGGGGCCGGGCCUGGGAGCCGGGAGCCGGGAGCCGGGGCGGGUGGGACCUGGUCGCGUCCCCGCGGCGGAGCGGGCGUCCCAGCCUUGCAGGGGACGCAGCCUGCGUGGCAGCGGUCGGGCCCCAGCCCCUCGGCCCGCCGCCAGGUUCUCCGCCGACGCGGACACGAGUGCCGCCCCGCGCCCCGGGAAGCCAGAAGCGGACCAAGACCCGCGCUCGCACCUCUGCGUGUCCGGGCUUCCGCGGGGCGCGGGGCGCGGGGCGCGGGGCGCGGGGCGCGGGGCGCGGGGCGCGGGGCGCGGGGCGGGUCCGGCCAGGUGCUCUCGCCCCGCGGGACCGGCCCCCCCGGGGCGAGCGAGGGCCCCACCCCGCGCCCCGCGUCCGCUAGAGGGCGCCCCGGGGUCUCGCAGCCCGAGCGGAGCUCCCAGCUGCUCCUCCCCAAGCCCCGGAAUGGAAACGCGGAUGACAAGAUUUUCGACACUGAGAAGUUUAAAUGAUAAAUCCGAGAACCUUGACCAGCUCCCCACCCCUACCCCAGAGGUGGCUGUUUUGAGCUUCAGAGUUUGGCAAAUUUGUUUUCCACAACCUUCAGCUUCUCUGGGCCUCCCCGCAGCCCCAGCCCCCUCAGGUCCCUGGUGCAAGAAGGAGCCUGGCAGGGCUCCUGCCUGGUACCCGGCUAUGGCCACGGGAAAAGGUAUCAUCUGAAUGUCUUUUGUUGGCAAAUCAUGGCAC
rnacentral:lncRNA from 1 species